rnacentral:lncRNA from 1 species
AUAGCUGAGCGCAACGCUCAACAGAAUUAUUGCUUUGUAUUUAUCAAGUUUUCUAUCGGGUAUCUUUGCUUUUUCGAUAUUAUAGUCUUUUUCAAAUCCCCUCACAACAAAAUAAAUAGCAAAAGCAUUAAAUUUAAAGGAGGAACAUUGAACAUUUUUCUCGCUGAAAACAGACACUUUGCGUCGAGAAAUGUUUGCUGAUACAACCAAAUUGAAAGCAGCUGUUUUAGCCUGGACCAGAAUGCAGACUGGGUAUUCAUCCUUGUCAGGGUAUUCAUCUUUCCAGGAUUGGAAGGUCAGCAAUCGCCUCUUGGCACUGCUGGUUGGUCCCUGAAAGAGAGAAUAAUCUUUUGGUGUCUUCUCUGAUUCCUUGAACCAAACUUUUUUAACAGAAUUCAUAGCAGUAUCUUUUCCAGAAGUUCUCUAGAUAAAAAAACUUGUAUAUUAAAAUAUGAAUGAUUUUCGAAGUAUUUAUUGUGAUGAUGCAUUGUGUACGUCAAUUAUCUCAGUGUUGAGCAUCUCUAAGGAUACAAAACCUGUUCUUUGGUGUCUGUUGUUUUUUCAUAGGCAUAACUGUCAAUAAUAUUAUCAUAUCCGCCUGUAUAAUUGAAAGAGUUUUUCACGACCGUCAACCAAUAAAAGAAUAUUUGCAAAACAGAAAUGCCCCUACAGUUUUGCAAUAUGAUGUACAUACCUUCUAUGGAUGAUAUUUCACAAGUUACUGAGCUUGGAAGUAUUGGUGGUAUUGACCUGUCAUAGAGUACAUGAAAUAUUGCAAAACAGAAGCAUGGCAAGGCUUUUAGAGACAUUCUAAUCUGGAUACCAUCAUCAGGAGAGUAAUUAUGGUAGUUCUAGAACUCUCUUGAAGAGGACCCUUGUUAAAUAAGUCAUGAUCAAUAAUUUGGAAGACCAGAACCGAAUAAAGAUCAGGACAAUUUGUACCUUGAUAUAUCUUCACUUUGCUCGCUGUUCCUAAGAGGACUUUCUAUGGUUUAAAAUAGAUUAACAAUGAACAUAAUUAAAACAUUGAAGUGUCAGUAUAAAAAUACAAUGGGAUGAAAACAGACUUCACCUUACCUGGUGCCACCGUUUUGGACCGUGUUGAAUAUUUCCUAAGUGGCUGUUUCUUUGAAUAGGUCUUUAUGGUUUUAUCAUUCUCAUAGUCAGGUAUAUCCCAGUCAAUAUUAAAAUCAUUAGGUUCAUUAGUACUCUUUUCAGUUCUAAGACGAUUGAUAGCGGCUGUUUUGCUUCUUGUUUUUACUGGCAUCGCUAAAAGAAAGCUGAAUGAUAACUGACGUCAAAAAUUGGUCUUACUUUUAACGCUGUUUUGUCCCGGCUAUCUAUUACGUUUUAAAUUUUACAUUUUAUUACGUAUUAUAACUAAUAAAGAAACGACCAAUAGUACAUAGCAGUAAAUGCAAUUAAUUGAAAUUGAUUCCUUACCUCUGAAGUCUGAACUAUGCUCUGAAAGAUAUAAACUUGAACGAGCUCUGCUUUAUUUUAUAGUUUGCUGCUUCGCCUGUCAGCCUUUUGUUUUCACUCUUGUGUAUGUUUGAUACACGUGAAUUAUAUCAAUGCUCAUGAUUGGUCACCUGAACAAUCUACUAACUUCUUAGCCAAUCACCAUCUUCGUCAAUAAGCGCCAUAAAUUGGCGCCAAAAACUAAAUUUUAGUUCAGUGAAAAGUUUGAAACAGAUGAAUUUUGAUUUGAAAGCUUGAAAAAAAAGCAUGUCUGUACAGUAUCUCUAUGAAGUAUCUUCGCCGUCAUUUCAAAUGGUGCCACAUUCACCAUUCAUUAGAAAACCUUGCACCGUUGUUUCUUCACCAGUCGCGAUUGUCCCUGAUAUAGACACCGGUGAAACUCUCAGUUCGAAGAAAGACUUCAGUUAUAUCGGCAAACAAACUCAACUUUUUACCAUGGAGAAAUCAUCACCCGUGGCAACUGGCAGAGUACCUUCCGUAUCUCCAAAGACACCACUGAAUAAUAUUACAAUACAAGCAAGAGAGCAACAAGUUCCAAGCCAAACGCCAUCAGGAAACCUGUCGUGUAAAGCACCACCUCUCAAUCUUUUCUCUGACGAUGACUGUAUUUUCUUAUAGCUUAAUACAACUUUAUUAAUACAAAGAGCUAUUCCU